GUAGUACUCCCUCCGUUCGGAAUUACUUGUCACAAAAAUGGAUGUAUCUACAACUAAAAUACAUCUAGAUACAUUCAUUUCUUGGACGAGUAAUUCCGAACGGAGGGAGUAUGUA
rfam:Triticum aestivum genome assembly, contig: Triticum_aestivum_CS42_TGACv1_scaffold_629400_7DS